rnacentral:lncRNA from 1 species
AGCACAUCUACUAAUAUUGUCCCGAGAUAUAUAAUACAUAUUUUCAUUUCUCUUUUUUUCCUAUUAUGACACAGCACAGAUAGGCUGUGUCACAGCAUUUACCAUUUUCAAUGUUACCCCAUGCUGGCUGAAGGACUUGGAUGGUUUGUUCAUUGACUUUUAGCAAGGGCUGGUAAAGGAUACAGGACUUUCUCCUCCACAAGAUUUUUAAUUGUUUCUGUGACACUUGUGCUUGGUCAACAGUAAUAUUUUGCUGGUUAGUCUAGAAGAGGAAGCAAAUGGCAAUGUGAGACAAAGAACAGCAGAGCCAGAAGUGUUUCUCCAUAUUCAGAGGGCUCAUUUUCAUCUCUCCAUAGUAAGACUAAGUGGUUUUUAGCCCUUUUGCACAAUUACUUAGAAACCCGUGAGGGGUUGCUGUUUUCACUCAUUUCCACUUCCUUUCCAGUCCAGCUGUGUCAGAGGACAAGAUCACCAUUCUCAAACAGUCUUCACUGUUCUAAAGGAGAGCAGUUUGUGAGAGCGCUGCCUAAUAGGCUUCUGACAGAGCCAGCUAGCUCACUUCACUGUACUGUGGGACCAGCAAAUCUGAUGUAUGUGCAACUAGUGUGGAAGCCUGACACUGUCAAAAUUUGUUAUCAUGGGCUCUCUGCCAUCACCCCAGCUGGCAAAAAUGGGACACGGUUCCAGUGCAUGAAUGGAAGGUCAGCCAGACGAUGCUCUGCUGUCACACAGGAGGAGUCUUUCAGGGCUGACUUUCCUGGAAGUUGCUAAUGAUGUAUUUUGACCUCUCUGUUUUAGAGAUGCUUUGCAGUCAGUGAUACUCAGGGAGUGGCACUCCUUGAAACUGACACGUGCUUCAUCUGCUUGUGAAAUGUUGCAAGGAAAGAUACCGCCUGUAAAACUUUAUUUGUAGCCUCACUGGAUCAUUAGGAAAAUUCUCUUAAUAAAGGAUGCUCCUGAAUCUUAUUAGUUGCUUCA